rnacentral:lncRNA from 1 species
AAAUACGUGCUAUGUGUAUAUAUUUGGUUGUGUUAUGUGUGAAUGAGUAUUCACUCUCUUCUAUCUUAUAGAUCUGCUUAUUUCUUUAUGAGAUAUGUGUUAUGUGUGUGUGUGCCUCAUCUGUUAUGUGAUAUAUGUGUUGAUUAAAGCAUGCUAUACAGGUUUUCUUUAAACUAUGUAUACAAAUGUAUAUUUUUAUCUACUAAUAUGUUGGGUAGAACAUGGGUAGACAGUUGGUGUGUAAUAAACAGAUGAGAGGCCUCGUUGUUGUUUGAUUGAGUCAUCUAGCGGAGUUUAGAUGACGACCACUGGCUAUUCUAGACAGUCUUGUGGAAACAUUAGCAGGUUCGCCACCUGUAGGUGUUAAUGAACUUGGGUGUUCAUUCGCUGUACUCCAUCCCCCUCAUGGUUGCCUUAUUUGACUUAUAUUGCUGAGGUACCCCCGAAGCAUGUGUUGUCGCCCCGAUGAAAUAUUCUUAGACUAGGUCCCUUAUGUUAGUUGUUUUAGGGACAUUAAAGUGAGAAUAACGGGAAUGGGUAAUUGGGUUAUUGUUGGUUGGUGAAAAUUAAAUAUGAUAUUUAUUGUGGGUUGAAAACCCUAUAUGCUCACCAGGCUCCCAAGCCUGACCCACUCAGUUUUAAAUUGUAUUACAGGUAGUGGCGGAAGGGCAUGAGAUGGAUGAACCAUCAAGUUGUUUUGUUUACAAGUCUGCAUAUGUUUAUAUUUGUUAUAUGACUUGUAAUGUAUUCGUUUAUGCUUAUUGGUCUGUAUCGGAACAUGACACCCCGAGUUUUGAUUAUAAUGAAAAUACAUUUCUUUUAUGAAAUGCUUCGGUAAACAAUGUUUUAUCAUGUUUUGUUUUUGGGAACAAAUUCCGCAACUCUUUCAAAUCAAAAGGAUUUACUCUGAAAAUAUUUAAAAGCAUAAAUGAAAAUCGGUCUUUUCUGGCCGAGAUUUUGGGGAUGUCACAGUUGGUAUCAGAGCAUUAGUUUAAGCGAACUAGGAAUUUGUAGGAUUUCUAGACUUAAACUUAGAAUGCUAAGUGAAGUUUUGAGAUGUGUGUCUGUUGUGUUUUAGACACGAGCACUAGUUUAUUUUAGGAAAGUUGCCUAAAAUGCUUUAUGUGCUAAAUGUUAUAUGUUGCCAUAUAUGAUAUUAUUUGUUCGGAUCUAUGGUCUGUUGCCGACCGGAUCUAGAAACCUUAUGUGUGUAGGAUUCUAAGCGUACGUCUACGAUAUUAGAACUAGCAUGUAAACGUUUCGGAGUGAUAAGGAUGAUUUGAAUAUCUAUCAUGAUUGAGGAUCUAAUUUCACCUUAUUCGGUGUGUAGAUCAAAAUGGUGAGAACAAGAAGUGGAGUUGGAAAUGCUGACGAAAACAGGAAUCAACCACCAGUGAUUGAGCCAAUACCUGUCGUAGCAGCAGCACCUGAGCCAAUAACCAUGGCUGGUGUGCAAUUGAUGAUUCAGACGAUGUUGGAUCGUCAGAUGGAUGAAACUAGACGGUUGCUUCAACAAAAUCGUGAAGAACUGUCGAUUCGUGUGGAAGAGCCUGAACUGAAUGAAGGGCACUCGGAAGGUGGAAACUUCAGUGGGUCUGUUGGUCCAGCCAACCCACCGAUAGUUAGGCAAGAUAACCAUGAUGGAAGGAAUGAUGGAAUGGGAUGCAAGUACAAGGACUUUUUGACUUGUAAACCAUCGACCUUCAAUGGAAAGGAGGAUCCGAUUGGGGUUAUGGAUUGGAUCUCCGAAAUGGAGUUAGCCUUUAUGACAUGUGGCUGUAGAGGCAAGUUGCAGACUAUCUAUGCCGUGCGACAAUUCCGAGGUGGAGCCGUUCGUUGGUGGAACACUCUAGGGAAGACCUUAAGCCCUAAUGAGCCACUGCAAUUGUCAUGGGCAGAGUUCUUGGUGCAGUUCAAGCGCAAGUUCUGCUCGGCUCAAAAUCUGUUGGAGUUGGAGAAUAAGUUUUUGACAUUGACGAAGGGUAGCAUGUCAGUUGAUGAAUACACCAAUAACUUCACCGAUAAGAUGGAGUUUGCCUUGCGUAUCGUUCCAGACGAGCUGACAAAGGUGGAUCGGUAUGCGAAGGGACUUCCAUGGGAGUACGAGGUGCCAGUACGUCAGGCACUUACUCUAGAGGCAGCUAUCUGGGCUGCCAAGUCUGUGGAGAACAUGAUCAAGGGGAGAACCACCGUCAAGGUUGAGGUUGGUGAGAAAAGGAAGUUUGAAGGAACAUCUGGUUCCAGUAAGAAGAGCAAAUUUUCGAAAUCUGAUUCGAAAAAGUUUGGAGGAAAAGGAGGCGAAGCGAAGUGGUGUGAUAAGUGUAAGAAAAAGCACUUUGGGAAAUGUAGCGAGGAUGUGACCUGCUACAAGUGUGGAAAGGUUGGACAUUUUGCCAAUGAAUGUCCGAACAACAAAAGGAUGUGUUUUGGUUGUAAUGAAGAGGGGCAUAUUUUGAAAGACUGUCCGAAGAAGAAGGAGGCAGCUAGGCCCAACAUUCCACCAAAGCCGAAGGCGAGAGCCUUCCAGAUGACACUUGAGGCUGCGAAAGAUGAAGCUGAUGUCGCUUCAGGUACCUUUCUCGUAAACGAAUUACCUGCUCAUAUAUUGUUUGAUUCUGGAGCCAACUACUCCUUUAUUUCGCAUGAGUUUGGUAGAAAGCUAGCUUUGCCUGUUGAUAGACUAAAUAAUGCUUUAUUAGUCGAAGUAGCUAGUGGCAAGUUUGUACCUGUUAGCCAUCGUAUGAAAAACGUCUUGAUCGACCUUAAUGGGAAUAAGUUUCUCGAGGAAUUAUUGCCUAUCGAACUAAAUGGUUUCGACAUCGUCUUGGGAAUGGAUUGGCUUAGCGCCAAUGAUGCCGAAAUUUUGUGCAAGAAGAAGAUAGUUAAAGUAAACCCGCCUGGGAAAGAUUCGUUUAUGGUGUAUGGGGACAAACGCAGAGUGAAUUCUGGAAUCAUUUCUCUAAUGAAAGCCAGAAAGUGUUUGACCAAGGGAUGUACAUCAUAUUUAGCAUUCGUGAUUGAUGCUAAGAAAGAAAAGAAGGUGAUGCAGAGUAUUCCAGUGGUGUGUGAUUAUCCGGAAGUAUUUCCCGAGGAUCUUCCUGGAUUACCACCUGAUAGACAAGUGGAGUUCAGAAUAGACUUGUUACCAGGAACCACGCCAAUAGCAAAAGCACCUUAUCGAUUAGCACCGACGGAGAUGAAGGAGCUAAUGAUGCAACUUCAGGAGUUAUUGGACAAAGGUUUCAUUAGACCUAGUUCAUCGCCCUGGGGAGCUCCGGUGUUAUUUGUAAAGAAGAAAGAUGGAAGUAUGAGAAUGUGCAUCGAUUACAGAGAGCUGAACAAGGCAACAAUAAAGAAUAGAUAUCCGUUGCCGAGGAUUGAUGACCUGUUUGAUCAAUUGCAAGGUUCGAGCUAUUUCUCGAAGAUCGAUCUUAGGUCAGGAUAUCAUCAGCUGAAAGUAAGAGAGCAAGAUAUCGAGAAGACUGCAUUCAGAACUAGAUAUGGACACUACGAGUUCUUGGUUAUGUCGUUUGGACUAACCAAUGCUCCAGCAGCGUUCAUGGAUUUGAUGAAUAGGGUUUGUAACCCGUUCCUUGAUAAAUCCGUGAUAGUGUUCAUAGACGACAUUCUGAUUUACUCGAAAAGCCAGGAGGAGCAUGGCAGACACUUGCGAGAAGUGUUAGAAGUCUUGAAGAAGGAGAAGCUGUAUGCAAAGUUCUCCAAAUGUGAUUUUUGGAUUCGUGAAGUCCAAUUCUUGGGUCACGUGGUCAACCAAGAAGGGAUAAUGGUUGAUCCAGCGAAGAUCGAAGCUGUGACGAAGUGGGAACAACCGAAAAGUCCCACGGAGAUUCGAAGCUUUUUAGGAUUAGCCGGAUAUUACCGAAGGUUUAUCCAAGGCUUUUCUUCGAUUGCUACUCCAUUAACAGCUUUGACCCACAAAGGAGCUACUUAUGCUUGGAGUGAGAAGCAUAAAGAAGCAUUCGAGAAGUUAAAGAAGAAGCUAUGCGAGGCACCGAUACUUUCUCUACCCGAUGGAGUUGAAGACUUCGCUGUUUAUAGCGAUGCGUCUGGUGUUGGAUUGGGUUGUGUUUUGACCCAAAGAGAAAAGGUGAUAGCAUAUGCGUCUCGACAGCUGAAAGAGCAUGAAAAGAAUUACCCGACUCAUGAUUUGGAGUUGGCAGCGGUAGUUUUCGCUCUGAAAAUAUGGAGGCAUUACCUCUAUGGCACGAAGUGCAAACUUUUCACUGAUCAUAAGAGUCUCCAAUACCUCUUUAAUCAGAAAGAAUUGAAUAUGAGGCAACGACGCUGGCUAGAAUUACUUAAAGACUACGACUGCGAGAUACUUUACCACCCCGGUAAAGCUAAUGUUGUUGCUGAUGCUCUCAGUCGGAAGGUCAAUCUUGAAAGGAAGAGGCCAAGAGCGUUGAGAAUUGAAGUUGUCUCGACCAUUGUGGAAAGUAUAAAGAAAGCUCAAGAGGAAGCUUCUGAGAAAAAUGACCGAAAGGAGGAACGUUUGGGUAAAACGUUGGUGUUUGGUACUAACGGUCAUGGACUGAAGGUAUUCCAAGAUCGUAUUUGGGUACCUAAGUCAGGAGGAAUUAGAGAUCUUCUGAUGGAAGAAGCUCACAAGACCAUGUACUCGAUUCAUCCGGGUAGCACUAAAAUGUAUAGGGACCUGAAACCCUACUACUGGUGGCCGACGAUGAAGCUUGAUGUUGCAAAGUAUGUGGCCGAGUGUGUGACUUGUGCGAGAGUCAAGACACAACAUCAGAAACCGUACGGGAGUUUAGAACCUUUGCCUGUGCCUAUGGGUAAGUGGGAAGACAUUGCUAUGGAUUUUGUCACUAAACUGCCCAGAACAAAGAAUGGUCACGACAUGAUUUGGGUGGUCGUUGAUCGAUUCACUAAGAGUGCGCAUUUCAUAGCGGCCAGGGAGAAAUGGUCUAUGGAAAAGCUUGCGAAUUCUUACGUGAAGGAAAUUGUGAGGCUUCACGGUGUUCCGUUAACGAUUGUAUCGGAUCGUGAUAGCCGUUUCACCUCAAGGUUUUGGAAAAGUCUACAAGAGGAAAUGGGUACCAAGUUAUGUUUAAGCACAGCUUACCAUCCGCAGACUGAUGGUCAGAGUGAAAGAACAAUACAAACACUUGAAGAUAUGCUGAGAGCAUGUACCUUGGAAUUCCUAGGUAAUUGGGAUGAACAUUUACCGUUGGUAGAAUUUUCCUAUAAUAAUAGUUUUCACUCGAGCAUUAAGAUGGCACCUUAUCAAGCUUUGUAUGGACAGAAGUGUCGUACGCCGUCUUGUUGGCUUGAGGCUGGGGAAAAGCAGUUUAUGGGACCGGAGAUGGUUCAUCAAACUGCUGAAAAGUUGAAAAUAAUUAGGGAAAGAAUGUUAGCAGCUCAAGAUCGUCAAAAGAGCUAUGCUGACAAGAAGCGAAGACCGAUGACUUUUGAGGUUGGAGAUUCGGUUUUGCUUAAAGUCUCGCCGUGGAAGGGACUUAUAAGAUUUGGUAAAAGGGGAAAGUUGAGUCCAAGGUUUAUUGGACCGUUUAAAGUUCUUCAGAGGAUUGGGAACCAAGCUUACAAGCUCGAAUUACCCGAAGAACUGAAUGGAAUUCACAACACUUUUCAUGUGUGUUAUUUGAGGAAGUUCACGGGAGAAGUUCCCGAUAUAAUUCCAAUUUCUGAAUUGAGAAUUGAUGAGAACAAAAGGUUGAUUGAAGAACCAGAGGCAAUUGUUGACCGAAAGACUAAGAAGUUGCGACGCAAAAUGGUUGGGUUAGUGCUUGUCCGAUGGAAACACACGAAUGGGCCGAAUCUCACCUGGGAGACGGAGAGUGACAUGUUGAGUCGCUAUCCGCAUUUGUUUGUUGAUGUGUGAUUCCGGGGACGGAAUCAUUCUAAGGUGGAGAGAAUUGUAACGCCUGUGUUUCCGGGCUUGCCAUUUUUAGCAAUAUAAUAGUCUAGGUUAACCUUUGUAACCCGUUUUGAAAUAAUAAGAAUGUAUUAUUUGAGUAUUAUGUGUUUUGUGCUUAAUUGCUUAAUUAUGUGGUCUGAUUAAUUAAGAAUAAAAAUAAGCGUCAAAAUUUAAGUGUAAAAUAAACUUAAUAUCUUUGGUUAAUGUUGUAGUAGUCGAAACGAGGUUUCCGAAUAUAUAUAGAACGCCCAAAUCUGACUUCGUAUGAGGAAGUUAUGAUUUAUCGAAGUUCCGGCUUAGCGGUAUACAGCCUGUUAUACUCGAUUUGAGAUCGAGCGGUUGUUAGCCGAAGCAAUCUAAAUGAGAAUCGAAGAUCUCAUUGUUGGUAUCGAAGCGAUAAAAAGUUAGGCGAGAACGGACGUCAAACGAAGAAGUUAUGAAUUUAUAACGAAAGUUUCUGUCGCGGCCUAUUAAAAAUAAUUAAUAAAAAUAAAGUCAAAAUUAGCCGACGGAGUCUAAACGAAAGUCGUAGAGCGUGGUCUCACCUUCGCGUGGAUAUAAAGAACGUCGAAAACGGAGUUCGUAUGAAGAAGUUAUGAAUUUCCGAAGUUUAUUAAUCAUUUUAUAUUUUUAUUUAAUUCAAAAUCGGAGGCAUUAUCCGAAGCCGUGUCACCGGUGUAAUCCGGAGUACGCCCCGCGUACGAGGUUACGCUAUCGCGUAACUCCGAUAGUGUCGACACUUCGGAUGACGCAUGCAAUGACGAUUUCGGACGCGUACGCGCUGCGUACGCCUGUACGCCCCGCGUACUCCGAGGUUCCAGCCUCUAUAUAAAGGAUCCGAAGGCAGCCUCAUUUCUUGUUCAUUUUCUUCUCUUCUCUCUAGUCUUUUGCAUCGUUUUUCGUGCCGAAGCUACCCCGAAGCCCCGGUAUCAUACUCUAGCCCCGAGGCAAGUCCCGAGAUCCCGAAGAUCCCGAGAAGCGCGGUUCCCGAGUCGAAGCUCUGCCCGCGAGAAGUUCGAUUUUCGAGGAGAUCUUCCAGAUCUGCUGUGGAUUACUACUUCUAUAAGCCGUAGUGCUGUCGGAUCGUCUUCUGAUCAAGUGAGUGUGUAGUUAUUUCUUCUAAUACAAUAAUACGAAGUAUUUUAUAUAAAAAUACGUGCUAUGUGUAUAUAUUUGGUUGUGUUAUGUGUGAAUGAGUAUUCACUCUCUUCUAUCUUAUAGAUCUGCUUAUUUCUUUAUGAGAUAUGUGUUAUGUGUGUGUGCCUCAUCUGUUAUGUGACAUAUGUGUUGAUUAAAGCAUGCUAUACAGGUUUUCUUUAAACUACGUAUGAAAAUAUAUAUUUUUAUCUACUAAUAUGUUGGGUAGAACAUGGGUAGAUAGUUGGUGUGUAAUAAACAGAUGAGAGGCCUCGAUGUUGUUGUUGUUGUUGAUCUAGUUAUUCAGCGGAGUAUGGAUAACGACCACGGACUCUUUCUAGACAGUCCAGUGGAACACUAGCAGGUUCAUAACCUGUAGGUGUUGUGAACGAUGUGUUCACCGGUGUACUCUAUCCCCCUCAUGGUUGCCUUUAGGAUAUCUAUUGUUGAGGAAACCCCUUCGCAGUGAUGUCCGUCCCGAUGAAAAUCCUAGAUUAGGUCCCUUGAGAUAGUUGUUUUAGGGACGUAAAGUGAGGAUAACGGGAAUGGGUAAUCGGGAUAGUGAUUGGUUGGUGAAAUUAAAUAUAACUUAUUUAUUGUGGGUUGAAAACCCUAUAUGCUCACCAGGCUCCCAAGCCUGACCCACUCAGUUUUAUUUGUAUUACAGGAAGUGGCACAAGGGCGUAAGAUGGAUGGAUCAUCUUGUUGUUUUGUUUACAAGUCUGUAUAUGUAUAUAUUUGUUGAAUGACUUGUAAUGUUUAUCGUUUAUGCUUUAUGGUCUGUAUCGGAACAUGACAUCCCGAGUUUUGAUUAUAUAAUGAAAUGCAU